rnacentral:misc_RNA from 1 species
GCGUGUUGCUACACCCGCUGAGCCCCUGUGAACUCGCGGCGUGGCCGCUGUCGUUGCCUCGGCCAGAUGCCCCAGGGCGGGGCCCCAGGCCUGGGCGACCAGGCGCUGGCCGGCGGCGCGCGAACUUCUAGAUACCGAACGUGGGGUGCUCUGAGUGACCGAUAGCUGAAUCGAUAAA